ACAUCCAGAGAAUUUAGCAGAGAUGCUUUAGUGCCUUCGGGAACUCUGAGACAGGUGCUGCAUGGCUGUCGUCAGCUCGUGUUGUGAAAUGUUGGGUUAAGUCCCGCAACGAGCGCAACCCUUAUCCUUUGUUGCCAGCACGUAAUGGUGGGAACUCAAAGGAGACUGCCGGUGAUAAACCGGAGGAAGGUGGGGAUGACGUCAAGUCAUCAUGGCCCUUACGAGUAGGGCUACACACGUGCUACAAUGGCGCAUACAAAGAGAAGCGACCUCGCGAGAGCAAGCGGACCUCAUAAAGUGCGUCGUAGUCCGGAUUGGAGUCUGCAACUCGACUCCAUGAAGUCGGAAUCGCUAGUAAUCGUAAAUCAGAAUGUUACGGUGAAUACGUUCCCGGGCCUUGUACACACCGCCCGUCACACCAUGGGAGUGGGUUGCAAAAGAAGUAGAUAGCUUAACCCUCGGGAGGGCGUUUACCACUUUGUGAUUCAUGACUGGGGUGAAGUCGUAACAAGGUAAGCGUAGUGCU
rnacentral:rRNA from 1 species